rnacentral:rRNA from 1 species
GACGAACGCUGGCGGCGUGCUUAACACAUGCAAGUCGAACGAGGUCCAUGAAGUAGCAAUACUUCGGAAGACCUAGUGGCGAACGGGUGCGUAACACGUGAGGAACUUGUCCCGGUCUCUGGGAUAACAGUUGGAAACGACUGCUAAUACCGGAUGACGUCGGAGCGUCGCAUGGCGCGCUGACGAAAGGGUUACCGGAUCGGGAGAGCCUCGCGGCCUAUCAGCUUGUUGGCGGGGUAAUGGCCCACCAAGGCAUCGACAGGUAGCUGGUCUGAGAGGAUGAUCAGCCACACUGGGACUGAGACACGGCCCAGACUCCUACGGGAGGCAGCAGUGGGGAAUCUUGCGCAAUGGGCGAAAGCCUGACGCAGCAACGCCGCGUGCGGGAAGAAGGCUCUCGGGUUGUAAACCGCUUUCAGCAGGAACAAAAAUGACGGUACUUGCAGAAGAAGGUGCGGCCAACUACGUGCCAGCCGCCGCUGUAAUAC